rnacentral:lncRNA from 1 species
GCAAUCGCAGACUGUUGCCUCGGCGAAGUCCUGUUCCGGUAGCAAGGUCCUCCUCGUUGCUCGACCCCAUGCCUGCCCAGCUGCUCUUCAAAAUACCUCCCCUCUCUGUUAAUGUUGGAUUACAACUAAAAAAAGACCUAGGCUAAAUUAGACCAAAGGGACGGACCCAAGGUGGAACUUCUCCUCUCCCUCUUGAUUUUUCUCACCGGAACUGGGGCUCUUAUCAAUGUAAAUAAAUAUUUAUCCUGGCGCAGGGGACCUUUAUGGAACGGAAGUCGCUCGGCAGUCCAGCCCGUCACGACACUAACCGGGAGUUCCGCGAUUAAGUUAACGCCGUCUACGUCCGAGGAUGACUAUCGACUGCUUGCGUUGCUUAACGUAGAGGACCGCGCGGAUCGACCAAUGGAAAUGAUAGAAAAAUGUCACGUGUACCUAAACCGGGAUCACGGCUCGAGGCCGAUGCAGCCAAGAAACUGCAGGAACCUAUCAGCCAUGGUGUUCUGGUGUAGUCCGAA